rnacentral:piRNA from 1 species
UUCGAUGGAGACCCCGGAUAGGCCGCAA